ensembl:lncRNA
GCCUCAACCAGACCACAGAGAACUGAUGCCUGGAGAUCUCUCCUGCUGUGGGGCUCAGUGACCUGCAGGAACUAGUUGGACCUCUAUCUUCCCAGCCCUGUUUUACUGAGUGUGGGAAUCUUGCCCAGCCUCUGACAUCGUACAGGUUGAUACUCAUCAGGUUGCCCUUUUAUGGACCACGGAUACCCUACUCAUUAAUGGACUUCCCAGGUGGCCCUAAUGGUAAAGAACCUGCCUGCCAAUGCAGAUGUAAGAGACCCAGGUUCAGUCCCUGGGUCAGGAAGAUCCCCUGGAGGACGGCAUGGCGACCCACUCCAGUAUUCCUGCCUGGAGAAUCCCGUGGACAGAGGCGCCUGGAGGGCUGCAGCUCACAGGGUCACAAAGAGUUGGACACGACUUAGCAGCACUCGUCAACACUGGGGAGUCACAGAAGACUUGAGACACUUUCUGCUCACUUGCCUGCCUUCUCCCUCCCAGAAGCACGAGAAAUCCCUUUUCUGGUCCAUCGUGCCUUCAGCAUCCCAUCACGAACAAAGAAUCUUACCAGGAACAGGGUGGAGGGAUGGGUGUAUCAAAGAAUUUCUCCCACGUGAACAGUGUUCUCU